GAGGUUCGAAGGCGAUCAGAUACCGCCCUAGUUCUUACCAUAAACGAUGCCAGCCAGCGAUCCGGCUGUGUUCCUCAAAUGACACGCCGGGCAGCUUCCGGGAAACCAAAGCUUUUGGGUUCCGGGGGAAGUAUGGUUGCAAAGCUGAAACUUAAAGGAAUUGACGGAAGGGCACCACCAGGUGUGGAGCCUGCGGCUUAAUUUGACUCAACACGGGGAAACUCACCCGGCCCGGACACAGGAAGGAUUGACAGAUUGAGAGCUCUUUCUUGAUUCUGUGGGUGGUGGUGCAUGGCCGCUCUUAGUUGGUGGAGCGAUUUGUCUGGUUUAUUCCGUUAACGAACGAGACUCUAGCCUACUAAAUAGACGUUCCGAUCCUCCGAGUCGGACGUUCUUCUUAGAGGGACGGGCGGCGUUUAGCCGCACGAAACAGAGCAAUAGCAGGUCUGUGAUGCCCUUUGAUGUCCGGGGCCGCACGCGCGCUACAUUGAAGGAACCAGCGUGUGCUUUCCCUGUCCGACAGGACUGGGUAACCCGUUGAACCUCCUUCGUGCUGGGGAUAGCAAAUUGUAAUUAUUUUGCUUGAACGAGGAACACCCAGUAAGCACGAGUCAUCAGCUCGUGUUGACUAUGUCCCUGGCCUUUGUUCACACCGCCCGUCGCUACUACCGAUUGAAUGAUUUAGUGAGGUCUUCGGACUGGCGCUCGGAUUGGCUUUCGGGUCGAGCCGACGUGCCGGAAAGAUGACCAAACUUGAUCAUUUAGAGGAAGUA
rnacentral:rRNA from 1 species